rnacentral:ribozyme from 1 species
UGUGAAGGAAAGAUGAAAAGAACUUUGAAAAGAGAGUGAAAGAGUACCUGAAAUUGCUAAAAGGGAACAGAUUGCAACUAGUGUGUUUCUUCAUAUUUUUCAUUUACAUUUUGUUUA